rnacentral:rRNA from 1 species
UACGGGGGGGGCGAGCGUUGUUCGGAAUCACUGGGCGUAAAGGGCGCGUAGGCGGCCCGCACAAGUCUGCGGUGAAAACCUCCGGCUUAACCGGGGGCCGGCCGUGGAAACUGUCGGGCUGGAGGCUGGGAGAGGGCAGCGGAAUUCCCGGUGUAGCGGUGAAAUGCGUAGAGAUACGGGAAGAACACCAGUGGCGAAGGCGGCUCACUGGCCCGAUACUGACGCUGAGGUGGCGGAAAAGCGUGGGGAGCAAACAGGG